UACGUAGGGGGGCAAGCGUUGUCCGGAUUUAUUGGGCGUAAAGAGCUCGUAGGUGGUUCGGUAAGUCGGAUGUGAAAUCUCCAGGCUCAACCUGGAGGGGUCAUUCGAUACUGCCGUGACUAGAGGUCGGUAGGGGAGUGUGGAAUUCCUGGUGGAGCGGUGAAAUGCGUAGAUAUCAGGAGGAACAUCCGGUGGUGCAGACGGCUCUCUGGACCGUAACUGACGUUGAGACACGAAAGCGUGGGUAGCAAACAGG
rnacentral:rRNA from 1 species